rnacentral:rRNA from 1 species
AGUCGAGCGGACAGAAGGGAGCUUGCUCCCGGAUGUUAGCGGCGGACGGGUGAGUAACACGUGGGUAACCUGCCUGUAAGACUGGGAUAACUCCGGGAAACCGGAGCUAAUACCGGAUAGUUCCUUGAACCGCAUGGUUCAAGGAUGAAAGACGGUUUCGGCUGUCACUUACAGAUGGACCCGCGGCGCAUUAGCUAGUUGGUGGGGUAAUGGCUCACCAAGGCGACGAUGCGUAGCCGACCUGAGAGGGUGAUCGGCCACACUGGGACUGAAACACGGCCCAGACUCCUACGGGAGGCAGCAGUAGGGAAUCUUCCGCAAUGGACGAAAGUCUGACGGAGCAACGCCGCGUGAGUGAUGAAGGUUUUCGGAUCGUAAAGCUCUGUUGUUAGGGAAGAACAAGUGCGAGAGUAACUGCUCGCACCUUGACGGUACCUAACCAGAAAGCCACGGCUAACUACGUGCCAGCAGCCGCGGUAAUACGUAGGUGGCAAGCGUUGUCCGGAAUUAUUGGGCGUAAAGGGCUCGCAGGCGGUUUCUUAAGUCUGAUGUGAAAGCCCCCGGCUCAACCGGGGAGGGUCAUUGGAAACUGGGAAACUUGAGUGCAGAAGAGGAGAGUGGAAUUCCACGUGUAGCGGUGAAAUGCGUAGAGAUGUGGAGGAACACCAGUGGCGAAGGCGACUCUCUGGUCUGUAACUGACGCUGAGGAGCGAAAGCGUGGGGAGCGAACAGGAUUAGAUACCCUGGUAGUCCACGCCGUAAACGAUGAGUGCUAAGUGUUAGGGGGUUUCCGCCCCUUAGUGCUGCAGCUAACGCAUUAAGCACUCCGCCUGGGGAGUACGGUCGCAAGACUGAAACUCAAAGGAAUUGACGGGGGCCCGCACAAGCGGUGGAGCAUGUGGUUUAAUUCGAAGCAACGCGAAGAACCUUACCAGGUCUUGACAUCCUCUGACAACCCUAGAGAUAGGGCUUUCCCUUCGGGGACAGAGUGACAGGUGGUGCAUGGUUGUCGUCAGCUCGUGUCGUGAGAUGUUGGGUUAAGUCCCGCAACGAGCGCAACCCUUGAUCUUAGUUGCCAGCAUUCAGUUGGGCACUUUAAGGUGACUGCCGGUGACAAACCGGAGGAAGGUGGGGAUGACGUCAAAUCAUCAUGCCCCUUAUGACCUGGGCUACACACGUGCUACAAUGGACAGAACAAAGGGCUGCAAGACCGCAAGGUUUAGCCAAUCCCAUAAAUCUGUUCUCAGUUCGGAUCGCAGUUUGCAACUCGACUGCGUGAAGCUGGAAUCGCUAGUAAUCGCGGAUCAGCAUGCCGCGGUGAAUACGUUCCCGGGCCUUGUACACACCGCCCGUCACACCACGAGAGUUUGCAACACCCGAAGUCGGUGAGGUAACCUUUAUGGAGCCAGCCGCCGAA